rnacentral:rRNA from 1 species
GAUGAACGUUGGCGGUGUGCCUAAUACAUGCAAGUCGAACGGAGUUAAUAGCAAUAUUGACUUAGUGGCGAACGGGUGAGUAACGCGUUGGUGAUCUGCCUCAAAGUGUGGAAUAACGUUCCGAAAGGAACGCUAAUACCGCAUGUGCUCUCGAUUUUUAGAAAGUUGAGAGUAAAGGAUUUAUUCGCUUUGAGAGGAGCCUGCGUCCCAUCAGCUAGUUGGUAGGGUAAUAGCCUACCAAGGCUUUGACGGGUAGGGGACCUGAGAGGGUGGCCCCCCACAAUGGAACUGAAACACGGUCCAUACACCUACGGGUGGCAG